GUAGUUGUGGCUGAGUGGUUAAGGUGAUGGACUAGAAAACCAUGGGGGGGUUUCCCCAUACAGGUUUGAAUCCUGUCAACUGCG